rnacentral:lncRNA from 1 species
GAAACACUUCAGGAUUUGCAUGAAUUAUAGAAAACACUGAUUGAUCUGUAGCAUACAUAUACCUUGGAAGUAACAGAACUUUAUUUUAUGAUUGUGGACAUACUCACACAAGUUUGGUUGCACUUUUAUAGAAACAUCACUUACAACGGUUGCCAGAUUUCCUGUCUCAGGACAAUGCACCUGACGUUAAGGGCCAGUUCCUAUAACAUCAUUUUACUUCGAAGUCACCUUUUGAUAAGAGCAGGGUGAGGAUGCAGAUGCAGAGUCAGCGAGAAUGCACAGUUCAUUGCAUCACAGUUGGUUCCAUUACUUCAUUUGUCCAUGGUAGAUAUUGCUAAAUUACUAUGAGAUUCAACCUUUUAUUCUUGUUUCUACUAAAGUGGCUCUAAUUUUUUUU